UUGGUGUUUUAGACAUGAAGUCCUUGCCCAUGCCUGUGUCCUGAAUGGUAAUGCCAGCAGCACAUCAAAAAGCUUAUCCACCAUGAUCAAGUGGGCUUCAUCCCUGGGAUGCAAGGCCGGUUCAAUAUACGCAAAUCAAUAAAUGUAAUCCAGCAUGUGCACAUUACCAUGCCUGGCUAAUUUUUGUAAUUUUUAUAGAGAUGGGGUCACACCAUGUGAAUACAAUACAAUACAAUACAAUCACAGGAUAGAGUAUACAAAUACAGGCUCUUCUCAAAGUCCUGGGCUCAAGCAAUCCCCCUGCCUCAGCCUCCCAAAGUGCUGGGAUUACUGGUGUGAGCCACUGUGCCGGGCCAGAGUUCUUUAUAUGUUUUAGAUACAAGCCUCUUGUUAGAUAUAAUGAUUUGCACAAUUUUUCUCUCAUUUUGUGCGUUGUCUUUUCACUUUCUUAAUGAUAUCCUUUGAAGCACAAAGAUUUUAAUUUUGAAGAUAUCCAAUUUAGCUAUUUUUUUUCUUUAGUUGCUUAUGCUUUUGGAAUUUUAUUCCAGUGUUGUUUUGAAAGCUAUUUUUUUUUCCCAGCUUCCCGUUCAGGGUUAGAAAAAUUGUCUGAUUUCUCUUUCCUGCCCAAAAUUACUUAGAAUAGUAUAAGCUAAUAUUUACCAACCACUUACUAUGUCUCAGGCUCUUGUUAGAGUUCAGACAGCUUGGGUAAUCAGUGCGGGAUCUCAAGGCUAAGGAUGAAUUCAGCUAAUCUCACUCUGGAGCCCAUACUCUUCAAUCGCUUCACUGUGCUACUGAUCAGGUCUUCCUCAUCUUGACUGUUUCAUUUUUGCAGGAGGAAAAUGGUGUAUUUGCUGUUAGUGUUAGACAAGUUAUUCUGCCUACUCUUUGUUCUCUUCCCUUUUCUGAGGUAAGUCCCCUGCCCCACCCUUUCUAGAAUUGCCAGAAUCUACAAACUGUCCAAAACACACAUGUACUCAUCCAAAAAGGCAAAACAACACCCUCAUUCAUGACACAGAAUUCUCAAAGCCCUGGUGUCACAGCUGCAGUCUCUCCCUGACCCUUGCCUCACCCUAACUGUGCUGAGUCUUCUCUUUGGUUGUGAUAGCCUAGGGUGUGACAUCCAGGGACAGCUUUGACACCCUCGGAUGUAAGUGCCAUGCUGUGGCUUGCCUUGGAACCCACAAGAAGGGCCCAGGUUCAAAAUCCUUUAACUGUCAGUUGAAUCAAACAUGAUCAUGUGGAGCAGUACACAACAAAAGCAAGUCAGACUGCCUUCUCAGGUGUUUCCUUUCACUUUGGCAAUAUCGAUGUUUAAACUUCAAGUUUAUUAUUAUUAUUUUAAAUAAGUGAGGUCAGAAUUACCCAACAGGAGCCCAAGAACUUCUUACCCCGCACUGCAACCCCCCAUUCUGCAGUAUCCAAUUACCUAUGAAAUCCAUUUGCAUCUACUUCAGAAAUAUCUCUCAGCCUCCCUCUCCCAUUGAAUCUUUCCUGCCACUGCAUCAGUUCAGAUCUCUAUCAUCUCUUAGGUGGACUAAUUCAUCUCAUUUCUGUCUUUUUUUUUUUUUUUUUCUUUAGACAGGUCUCACUCUGUCACCCAGGCUGGAGUACAGUGGCCUGAUCAUGCUGAUUGCAGCCUCAACCUCCUGGGCCCAAGCAAUCCUCCUGCCUCAGUCUCCUGAGUAGCUGGGACUACAGAUGCAUGCCACCAUAGCUGGCUAAAUUUUUUGUAGAGACAGGGUCUCACUAUGUUGCUGAGGCUGGUCUCAAACUCCUGGGCUCAAGCAAUCCUCCUGCCUCAGCUUACCAAAUAGCUGGGGCUACAGGUGCAUACUGUUGUGCCUGGCUCAUUUUUUUUUUUUAGUUUUUGUAGAGACGGGGUCUCACUAUGUUGACCAGUCUUUGUUUCUCAGUCUUUUCUUCAAUCCAAUUGAAUUAAAUUGAAUUAUCUCUUCAUGGUUGUCUUCCUCAGUAGAUUAUGAGAUCUUUAAGGUCAGAGACCAAAAACAAUUAAUUUGCAUAGAACUUGACAUAGAGUCUGCCACCUACCAGCCUGACCAGUGUGGUGAAACCCCGUCUCUACCAAAAAUACAAAAAUUAGCCGGGCAUGGUGGCACCUGCCUGUAAUCCCAGCUACUCAGGAGGCUGAGGCAGGAGAAUCACUUGAACCCGGGAGGCAGAGUUUGCAGUGAGCAGAGAUCUUGCCACUGUACUACAGCCUGGGCGACAGAGUGAGACUCUGUCUCAAGAAGAAAAAAAAAAAGAAAAGAGUCUGCCACCUAAAGGCAUUUAAUUAGCAUUUGUGAAAGAAAUAGUAGUCCAGUUGGUAAUUUCCCCACUGCUUGCAAGACCUCACAAAAGGCCUUGUAAUAAAAACAAUUAAAUCUCAUGUGACCCAGGUGUGUCAGGAAUGCCUUCCUAUUCUGCUAUGUGGAUGAGUUUUGCUAGUUUUCAAGGUUUAGUCAAGGCAAAGGAGAUAGCUUGUCUCCUACGAUUAGCGAGUCAUCUGCUAGCCUGUGGAGGGACAAACAGGUACGAUACUCCUUCGUCACUCAUCACAAUGGUCAUGGCAGACACUUCUAUAACAAAAGACAAGUUAGCAAGAGAAAAGCAUGACAAAUUUAUUUAACAAAGUUUUAAAUGACAUGGGAGACUUCAGAAAUGAAGAACCAAAGACCCAGGAAAAGCUGGGUAUUCUUAUGCUUAGGUUUGCUGACAAAUGGACAGUCACGUAGAAAUGAGAUUGGACAACAAGGGUAUGCUGCAAUAAUGGUAAUCAACUGAGGGGAAUGCAGCAAGGCCUGUCUGUUCUGCUUCUUCUUGGCCCCCUAUGUAGCUCUGGGUAUAGCACAAGACACUUGUCACAUGAAGGUCUUCAGGGAAGAGGGGAGAAUGUCAGAGAGUGACAUUUCUAGGUUUUAUGGCCUGCUUCAGGGGAGAGGAGUUAGAAUUUCUAUGACCCAUCUUGAGGAAGACUUAUUCUGGUUUUAUGAGUUGCUUCAGGGGAGAAAGAGAGUCUGGAGAUAGGAGGGUGGGAGAAGGUCGGAAAUAUGUUGCUUCUGAGGCCCUUGCAAUCUCCUUCAGUUCAAAGUACUCAGCAUGCCAAAGCACCACACUUUAGGGCACUGUGUUUUGAGCCCCAACACCAGUAAACUCCUCCUUAUCUUAGUUAUGGGGGGGAGUCUGGCCUGUAACCCUCUCGGACCCAUCUCUGCUAGGGACCACCAACUGAUCAGGAUAUUUGUUUCUCAAACACAUAUGCAUCCAUUUCCGCAAGCUCAAACACCCUCUGGACACUAAUCUUUUCCAAAAAAAUGUAGAUAAGCAUUGCAAAAUCAUUCGGAAGAGGAGGACCAACAGUUAUAACCCUCUCUGAGUAACCUGCUCCCUACGACCAUAUGAGGAAAGGAGGUGAGCAGACGGGACAAGGACUCACAAUUUAGACCUUUACAAGAUAUCCCAAAUGGCUGUUACCUUGCUCUCUGUCUCCUCAGGUUUCUGCUGUCCUCCUCUUCGAUCUUCCCUCUGAGAUUCCUUUUCUAAUGAUCCCAUCCCUUUGCCUCAGAAAUCAGUCCCAUUCUCAAAAAGAGAAAGUGGUCCCAGUUGCUGCUGUCUCUUCUUAUGAAGUGCAAAGAUGAAUGCCUUGGGCUUCUGCUGAGUGUUAAAGGCAGAUUCCCUUGGCUUAUCCUUCUGCUGACUCUAAAGUGGGAGGAAUGUGGCUACCCCUGUAGUGGAACUUCUUGAAAUGCUUUUCCCCCUUGGGCAGUGAGGGCUGAUGGCUGAGGCCAAUUUCCUCCUGAAAUACCUAAGGACAAAUAUUUCCCCAUAAUCAGUAUUGCUCAUCUUUCAAAGACAAUGGGGGUCAGUAACACAGGAGCAAAGUAUUUUUCAGGCUUUUUAAAUUUUUGGAGCUGAAAUAUCACUAUGUUGCCCAGAACGGCCUCCAACUCCUGGGCUCAAGUGAUUCUCCUGCCUCAGCCUCCUGAGUAGCUGGGAUGACAGGCAUGUACUCUAGCCCCAUGCCUGGGUUUUUUUUUUUUUUCCCAGCAUAUUAAUAUGUUCUUCACUUCACCCUAUUAUAUCAUUGUGGUAAAGGAGUUUCUGUUGUCUUCCUGGCCCUUUUCAGUUCAAAAGUCUGUCAGUUGAGAAUGUUUGUUUACUUCCUACCACAGAGUUUUUUUUAUCCUAAAAGCUCUCCCUAGAUGGAGUGGGGGUGGGGAGGAUCUCCCUUAUCCUGCCAAGCAAACUAAAUAGAAACUUGAAAGUUUACAUAUAACUGGAGUGGGGUGGCUCAGAUGCCUGUAAACCCAGCACUUUGGGAGGCUGAGAUGAGAGGAUUGCUUGAAGCCAGGAGUUCAAAACCAGCCUAUGCAACAUAGCGAGACCCUGUUUUUUCCAAAAAAGACAGAAAGAAAGAAAUUAGCUAGGUGUGGUGGCACACACCUGUAGUCCCAGCUCCUCAGGAGGCUAAGGCAGGUGGAUCGCUUGAGUCCAGGAGUUCAAGGUUACAGUGAGCUAUGAUCAUGCCACUGUACUCCAGCUUGGGUGACAGAACAAGAUCCUGUCUUUCUCUAAAAUAAAAAUAAAAUAAAGUAAAAUAAAAACAAUAAAUAAUUUUUAAAAAAUUUUAAAGAAGUUUGCAUACAGAAUUAGCAAGAUAAUUAUAAAGGCUAUGUUUAUGGAUUUGUAAUUGCCUAACAGGUUCUUACCCACUGCACAGGUAAAUGCAAUUCACUGAGACAGUAUUAUUGCAGUAAAGAGUUUAAUUAACACAAGGCCAGCCAAGCAGAACUGAAGUUAUUACUCAAAUCAGUCUCCCCAGCAACUCAGAGGCCAGGGUUUUUAUGGAUAAUUUGGUGGGUAGGGAGCAAGGGAAGGGGUGCUGCUCAUAGGUUAGGAAUGAAAUCACAGGGGUGUGGAAAACAAUUACGUGCACUGAGUCAGCCUCUGGGUGGGGCCACAGGACUGGCUGAAGCCUGAGCCUCAGGUCUGGGUGAGGUCAAUCAGUUGCCAGAAUGUAAAAAUCUGAAAAGUAUCUCAAAAGACCAAUUUUAGGUUCUACAUUAGUGAUGUUAUCUACAUGAGCAACUGGGGAAGUCACAAAUCUUGUGACCACAUGACUCUGACCACAUGACUCCUGAGCAGUAAGGAUUAUAUAAAAUAUGCCUGUAGUUUAGCAGAAUUCAGGCCCCUCCCAUAAUCUUAAUCUUGUGGUCUCUCAGUCUUACAAAGGUGGUUUCAGUCUGUUAAUAAAGAGAUUACUUUUAGAAAAGGACUAUUAUCAUCUUGCUUUAAAGUUAAACUAUAGGCUGGGAGUGGUGGCUCAUGCCUGUAAUCUCAAGCACUUUGGGAGGCCGAGAUGGGAGUAUGGCUUGAGACCAGCAGUUUGAGACCAGCCUGGUCAACAUAGCAAGACCUCAUCCCUAUUUAGUUAAAAAAAAAAAAAAAAAGGUAAACUAUGACUAUAUGACUAAAUUCCUCCCAUGGUUAGCUUGGUCUAUGCCCAGCAAUGAGGAAAGACAGCCAGGCUGUGAGGCUAGAAGCAAGAUGGAGUCAGCCAUGCUAGACUGGUCUCGCUAUCAUAAUCUCUGCAAAGGUGGUUUCAGAUUCAGGGCCUUGCUCUACAAAAUGUCCUUAAAAAUAUGAUGCCUUCAAUUUCAGAGGAAAUAGUGAGAUUUCUAAACAACAUGUGACUUUUUGCCUAGGAGCUAAAAGCUUUCAACUCCUCUUCUUCC
rnacentral:lncRNA from 10 species